AGUACAGUUUCAGUUCUAUCACAAACAACAGUAAAUUCAAAACGUCAAUCCAGAAAAAUGAAGUUCUUUGGCAUUCUACUGUUGACCAUGGCGCUGCUCAGCCUGUGCAUCGGCGAGCCAUUGUUGCUGAAGAAGAAGCUUGUCAACAGAUACGUUCGUCCUCGACUCACCAAACUUGUCCACGAACAAGUCCUGCCAGCAGUCAGAAGACUCCGUUCGGGGCCGGCUUAUUCGAGCGGUGCGCUGCACUAACUUUGCUCAGCAUAUUUUCAUUGGUUAGAGUUUCUGGAAUAAACAUUGUUAAUGAAAAUAAAAAGUUUUGUUAAAUA